GACGAACGCUGGCGGCGUGCCUAAUACAUGCAAGUCGAACGGUGAAGCUCCAGCUUUCUGCCGUGUAUCAGUGCCGCACGCGUGAGUAACACGUGAGCAACCUCCCCCUGUCAGCGGGAUAAACGCUGGAAAAGGCGACUAACACUGGAUACGAGAAGGUUCCGCAUGGGUACUUUCUUGGAAGUUUUUCGUUUGGGGAUGGGCUCGCGGCCUAUCAGCUUGUUGGUGAGGUAAUGGCUCACCAAGGCGACGACGGGUAGCCUGCCUGGGAGGGCGACCGGCCACACUGGGCCUGAGACACGGCCCAGAGUGCUACGGGAGGCAGCAGUGGGAAAUAUUGCACAAUGGGCGAAAGCCUGAUGCAGCGACGCCGCGUGAGGGAUGACGGCCUUCGGGUUGUAAACCUCUUUCAGCAGGGAAGAAGCGAAAGUGACGGUACCUGCAGAAGAAGCACCGGCUAACUACGUG
rnacentral:rRNA from 1 species